UACGGGGGGGGCAAGCGUUGUUCGGAAUUACUGGGCGUAAAGGGCUCGUAGGUGGCCAACUAAGUCGGACGUGAAAUCCCUCGGCUUAACCGGGGAACUGCGUCUGAUACUGGAUGGCUUGAGUUCGGGAGAGGGAUGCGGAAUUCCAGGUGUAGCGGUGAAAUGCGUAGAUAUCUGGAGGAACACCGGUGGCGAAGGCGGGUCUCUGGGCCUUACCUGACGCUGAGGAGCAAAAGCGUGGGGAGCGAACAGG
rnacentral:rRNA from 1 species